ensembl:lncRNA
AAGCCCAGCCCGCAGUCCUUGCAGCCGUAGAUGGAGUCUUCGGCCUCGUCCAGCUCGUCCAGCUCGUCCUGCUGCGGCCCCGCGCCGCCUGCGCUCUGCACAACGGAGCCGCCGAACAGCUUCCCCACGUGGAGCUUCUCUCGGGCAUAGAUUUUCUGAUGGGCACCCAGGUCCUCAAGGGUGGCGAAGUACUCCCCACACUCCUUACACUCGCUGCGCACGGGCGGCUCAGCGAACCUGGUCUGAGCUGGGGCUUCGGCGUAACUGGUCUGAGGCUGAGGCUCGGCGUAACUGGUCUGAGGCUGCGGCUCAGCGAAACUGGCCUGAGCUGCCCAGCCUGCGUAACUGGUCUGAGGGUCAGCAGAAGCUAAGCUGCGGAUGACAGACCGAAUGUAGUUUUUCCCUCCAGAGGGCUUCUUUCUGUCGUGAAUCUUCUGAUGCUCCGUGAGGUCGGAGCUACGCGCAAAGGACUCGCCACACUCUGGACAUUCAUAAAAUUUCUCUCUAGGGCGAAACGUGAGAGGCUGACCAAAGCGCAGGGAGUGGGUCACGGAGGCGUCGUAGUUCCUGUGCUCAAUGUUCUUCUUCUUGGCGCGAGCCUUCUGGUGCUCGCGCACGCCGGAGCCGGGAACAGAGGCCUCGCCGGCCGUCUUGACACCGCUGGGACCCUCUCCGGAAGGCUGUGCUUCGGCCUGGGACGCGCUGCGGGCACCGGAGCCCUGGGAGAUGUCCUCCGCGCCGCCCUCGUGAGGGCCCUCCCUGGCGGGAGCUCUCUGCUGCUCACGCAGGCCCGCGAGGUAGGUGGAGGGCGCCCCCUUCUCGCCGCCUCCGAGCAGCUCCCUGCCCCCGCGACCUCUGGGAGGCUUGAGCGCAGCCAGGCUGUGGAUGACGGAGCUCUCGAGCCUCCUCCUCUCCAAGCUGCUCUCUCCAGCCGGCACCUGCCGCCGCGAGAUGACCCCUGAGCUGUGGACAGUCGACUCCGCGAAGCCCCGCGGCCUGCUGGGCCCCGCGGCGCUGUGGCUUCUCUGAGCCGCGGCAAAGGCCGAGCUGCGAAGAACAGACCUCUCGCCGGCCGCGGCCUCCCGGCUGCUGGCGGGGCUGCAGCUGACGGUGAAGGCCCUCUCGUCCUCCUCGUUCUCGGGGGGUCUGGCUAUGGUGUGACUCUUCUGCGACUCGGGGAAGGACACGCCGUGCACGGCAGACUUGUCGUACCCCCGGCCUUCGAAGAGCUCCCUCCGAGAGCGGAUCUUCUGCGGCUCGAGGAGGUGGGAGCCCUGCCUGAAGGCCUCCCCGGCGGCUGCAAAGUCGUAGAGCUUCUCUUUCGGGUACGUCUUCUGGCGUCUCCUCAGGGACUGGCCGGGCACGAAGGUCUCCUCGCAGGCUCUGCCCCGGCUUUCCGGCGGGUGGCCCCGGGCGUGGACCUGCUGGUGCUCCCUCAGGGCGGCGCUGUGGUGGAAGGUCUCGCCACACACCCUGCACUCGUACAGCUUCUCUCGGCCGUACAGCCGGGGCAGCUCUUUGGGCGCCGGGCUGGGCUGAAAGGCAUCCGCCCGCUCGCCGGCUCGGGCCUCCCGGCCGUGGGUCUUCUGGUGGUCCACCAGCGCCGAGCUGUGGAGGAAGGUUUCCUUGCACACCUUGCACUCGUAGAACUUCUCCUUCCCGUAGAUCUUCUGGAGCUCGCUGAAGGUCGGGCUGGGCAGGAAGGGCUCCUCGCACACCUCGGCCUGACCCUCAGCCAGAUUCUCCCGAGCGUGGGUCUUGCGGUGCUCGGCCAGAGCAGCGCUCCGGUUGAAGGUUUCACCGCACUCCUUGCACUCGAAGCGCUUCCCGCCCGCCUGGCUUCUCUGCACCUCGCUGAUGGCCACGCUGUGGAUGAAGGACUCGCCGUAGUUCUCCAUGUUGUCCUGAAUCGGGUUCUGCAGCUUCCGGUCCUCGGCGAGGUCCCCCAUGUCCUGGUACGACACUGUGUCCUACAACGACAGAGGCCGACCUCUCAACAUGGUCUGUGGCCUGGCGGCCUGGCAGCCACAACCACAGGCGCAGAAGUGCCCAC